AUUGAACGCUGGCGGCAUGCCUUACACAUGCAAGUCGAACGGUAACAGGUCUUCGGAUGCUGACGAGUGGCGGAUGGGUGAGUAAUACAUCGGAACGUGCCCGAGAGUGGGGGAUAACGAAGCGAAAGCUUUGCUAAUACCGCAUACGAUCUCAGGAUGAAAGCAGGGGACCGCAAGGCCUUGCGCUCACGGAGCGGCCGAUGGCAGAUUAGGUAGUUGGUGGGAUGAAAGCUUACCAAGCCGACGAUCUGUAGCUGGUGUGAGAGGACGACCAGCCACACUGGGACUGAGACACGGCCCAGACUCCUACGGGAGGCAGCAGUGGGGAAUUUUGGACAAUGGGCGCAAGCCUGAUCCAGCCAUGCCGCGUGCAGGAUGAAGGCCUUCGGGUUGUAAACUGCUUUUGUACGGAACGAAAAGACUCUGGUUAAUACCUGGGGUCCAUGACGGUACCGUAAGAAUAAGCACCGGCUAACUACGUGCCAGCAGCCGCCGUAACAC
rnacentral:rRNA from 1 species